rnacentral:piRNA from 1 species
UGGUUUGAGCAUCAGGGUGUCUUCUUCAGU